GCCCUUGGCAGGACGUGAGCUCUGUUCUUCGCUAAAGCAUGCAUCUGAUCGCUGACAAUUUUUUUUUCCUUCUUUUCCCUUUUGUCUCUGGGACAUCAGGGAUUGAGCACAAACUGGCAGUGAAUGAUAUCCCUCCCAACUUUGGUGAUUAUGUUCGUUAAUAAUGAUUAUCGCUUCUAUGUAAUAUUUGCAUGAUAAACUAUAGACAUCUGGUGCAGCGUGCAUGUGCGUGUGGUGUUUGUUGGAAAACAGAAGAAGCUAAAUGCUGAUGAAAUGUGAAAUCUAACCGUUCAGACUAAAAAUAAAGUCAGCAGGCUUUAGGAUUUCUGUAUGCCAGCAAUUCUGAACUGCUUACAUUCGCCGUCUUAGUUACCGUGGAAACACUUGGCUGGGCAUAUACAGACAUGGAGUACACAAUUUGUGGGCCUGGCCCCUGGGGGUCCCAUUACAGAAUUUUGUAUGUUUAGAAAUAUUUUGUAAUAAGGCCCCUUGUGUCACUUAUUAGUGAUAAAACGUACAACUGCCUUCAUCAGCAUCAACCUCAAAUUUGUUUCUCAUUGAAAUGAACCAGCAUGCUUUCAGACUGGUUUCCACCAUGUUGGCUCACGUCUCGAACUCCUGAGCUCAAGCGAUCCAUCAUUCUUUGCCACAAGAUCAUGAGAGCUCUAUUCCUCUCCACAUGGCUGCCUACUUUCCUCUCUGCUGCCUGAUCAUAAGGCAGGACUUCUCCAUUUGCCUCCCCUCCAAGCCCAGUAAUGAGGAAUCCAGUACAGAGUAAUUAGACUGUCUGCGACUGAGGUGCCUGCCAAUUAUGCUGAUGGAACUGAAGUCUUAUUAGACUAAUAAGGUUUUCUAAAUUGGACUUGGGGUUCCUGGUGAUGUGUGCAUUCCUGAGAGAAGUUGCUCAAGUAUUGAAAAUGAGUUUACCUAAGGAUAAAGUUUCACCUUGGAUGAACUAGAGUGAGAAGUGAGUUCACAUGUGAAUUUGGCCACUCAUCUGCUAUGGGACCUCGGAUAAACGUUUACAUUUACGGGUGGGGAAUGAGUCUCUGGCCCUAUCAGUAAAAUGGCAAAAUUAAUUCCCACUGAAAAAUUAUGAGGAUAAUGAAAUAAUCUAAAAAGAGUAUAACAUGAUAUUUUACAUGAAUUACCUUAUAAACCUUAACUUUAAGCGUGGUUACUUACUCAUUCUACAUAGUAAACAAUGAAAUACAGGUAAUUUUAUUAUUAUUGUUACAAAUGUCUCAUAAUCUUGAAGAGUUUUGCAGACAGAGAAACCUCCAUGUGAAUUUCAUCCACAACAUUGACAAAUACUGUUUGGCCACUCUUAACCUUGGUUUCUCUCUCCUUAAAUAAAGCUAAAAAUAGUAACAAAAGUCAUUAAGUCAUGUGACAUUGUUAUGAGGUUAAAUCAAUGAAUACUUGAAAAAUGCUUUUACCACACUGCCUGACUUAGGAAAGGAACUUCCUACCACUGACCAAAUGGAAGUAUGAUUGAAAUAAU
rnacentral:lncRNA from 1 species